GGGGGAUAUUGCACAAUGGGAGAAACCCUGAUGCAGCGACGCCGCGUGGAGGAAGAAGGUUUUCGGAUUGUAAACUCCUGUCGUUAGGGACGAUAAUGACGGUACCUAACAAGAAAGCACCGGCUAACUACGUGCCAGCAGCCGCGGUAAAACGUAGGGUGCAAGCGUUGUCCGGAAUUACUGGGUGUAAAGGGAGCGCAGGCGGGAAGACAAGUUGGAAGUGAAAACCAUGGGCUCAACCCAUGAAUUGCUUUCAAAACUGUUUUUCUUGAGUAGUGCAGAGGUAGAUGGAAUUCCCGGUGUAGCGGUGGAAUGCGUAGAUAUCGGGAGGAACACCAGUGGCGAAGGCGGUCUACUGGGCACCAACUGACGCUGAGGCUCGAAAGCAUGGGUAGCAAACAGGAUUAGAUACCCUGGUAGUCCAUGCCGUAAACGAUGAUUACUAGGUGUUGGGGGAUUGACCCCCUCAGUGCCGCAGUUAACACAAUAAGUAAUCCACCUGGGGAGUACGACCGCAAGGUUGAAACUCAAAGGAAUUGACGGGGGCCCGCACAAGCAGUGGAGUAUGUGGUUUAAUUCGAAGCAACGCGAAGAACCUUACCAGGUCUUGACAUCCGAUGCAUAGCACAGAGAUGUGUGAAAUCCUUCGGGACAUCGAGACAGGUGGUGCAUGGUUGUCGUCAGCUCGUGUCGUGAGAUGUUGGGUUAAGUCCCGCAACGAGCGCAACCCUUAUUGCCAGUUACUACGUUAAGAGGACUCUGGCGAGACUGCCGUUGACAAAACGGAGGAAGGUGGGGAUGACGUCAAAUCAUCAUGCCCUUUAUGACCUGGGCUACACACGUACUACAAUGGCGUUAAACAAAGAGAAGCAAGACCGCGAGGUGGAGCAAAACUCAAAAACAACGUCUCAGUUCAGAUUGCAGGCUGCAACUCGCCUGCAUGAAGUCGGAAUUGCUAGUAAUCGCGGAUCAGCAUGCCGCGGUGAAUACGUUCCCG
rnacentral:rRNA from 1 species